UCAAUCGCAAUCUCACUACAUCGAAAUAGUCAAAAAGGUGUCACCUCACUCAGUUCGACAUAGAUCAAUGAGGAUUCGUGCGGCAGGGAGGGGACUGGUGAUAGAAAACAUGGGUCCAAGAAGAAAUCAAAGAGCAUGGUAUUGUUCAAUCCAUCAGUUGCUAGCGGAUGUCGUGUUGUGAUUAAGACUACAAGGCCGUAACGUUCAUCCCAACAUCGACUUUCGAUCGAAGUUACACCAAUUCAAGAGGGAGGUUGUUCCACCAUAACAUGCAUUACU